AGCAGCCGCGGUAAUUCCAGCUCCAAUAGCGUAUAUUAAAGUUGUUGCAGUUAAAAAGCUCGUAGUUGAAUUUCGGGGUUAGUAGGUUGGUCAUGCCUCUGGUAUGUACUGGUCUCACUGAUUCCUCCUUCCUGAUGAACCGUAAUGCCAUUAAUUUGGUGUUGCGGGGAAUUUGGACUGUUACUUUGAAAAAAUUUAGAGUGUUUAAAGCAGGCUCACGCCUGAAUACAUUAGCAUGGAAUAAUGAAAUAGGACGUUUGAUUCUAUUUUGUUGGUUUCUAGGAUCGACGUAAUGAUUAAUAGGGAUAGUUGGGGGCAUUAGUAUUCAAUUGUCAGAGGUGAAAUUCUUGGAUUUAUUGAAGACUAACUACUGCGAAAGCAUUUGCCAAGGAUGUUUUCAUUAAUCAAGAACGAAAGUUAGGGGAUCGAAGACGAUCAGAUACCGUCGUAGUCUUAACCAUGAACUAUGCCGACUAGGGAUCGGAUGAUGUUAAUUUUUUAAUGACUCAUUUGGCGCCUU
rnacentral:rRNA from 1 species